UACGGAGGAUCCAAGCGUUAUCCGGAAUCAUUGGGUUUAAAGGGUCCGUAGGCGGCCCUGUAAGUCAGUGGUGAAAUCUUUCGGCUCAACCGGAAAAUUGCCAUUGAUACUGCAGGGCUUGAAUUAUUGGGAAGUAACUAGAAUAUGUAGUGUAGCGGUGAAAUGCUUAGAGAUUACAUGGAAUACCGAUUGCGAAGGCAGGUUACUAUCAAUUAAUUGACGCUGAUGGACGAAAGCGUGGGGAGCGAACAGGA
rnacentral:rRNA from 1 species